GCCAGCAUGGCAUAGUAGUUUGAGCGUUGGACUACAACUCUGGAGGGCCAGGGUUCGAUUCCCAGUUCAGCCA